rnacentral:tRNA from 1 species
GAGGGUAUAGCUCAAGUGGUAGAGUGCAGGCUCGUAUGCAUGAGGUCCUGGGUUCAAUCCCCAGUACCUCCU